rnacentral:rRNA from 1 species
UACGUAGGGACCUAGCGUUGUCCGGAAUCAUUGGGCGUAAAGCGCGCGUAGGCGGCCCGGUAAGUCCGUUGUAAAAGUCAAAGGCUCAACCUUUGAAAGCCGAUGGAUACUGCCGGGCUAGAGUACGGAAGAGGCGAGUAGAAUUCCUGGUGUAGCGGUGGAAUGCGCAGAUAUCAGGAGGAAUACCCAUAGCGAGGGCAGCUCGCUGGGACGUUACUGACGCUGAGGCGCGAAAGCGUGGGGAGCGAACAGG